rnacentral:rRNA from 1 species
CGGGGUGCAGCAGGCGCGAAAACUUUACAAUGCCGGCAACGGCGAUAAGGGAACCUCGAGUGCCAGGUUACAAAUCUGGCUGUCGUGAUGCCUAAAAAGCAUUGCAUAGCAAGGGCCGGGCAAGACCGGUGCCAGCCGCCGCGGUAACACCGGCGGCUCGAGUGGUAACCGUUAUUAUUGGGUCUAAAGGAUCUGUAGCCGGCCGGGUAAGUCUCUUGGGAAAUCUGGCAGCUUAACUGUCAGGCUUUCAGGAGAUACUGCCUGGCUCGAGGCCGGGAGAGGUGAGAGGUACUUCAGGGGUAGGGGUGAAAUCUUGUAAUCCUUGAAGGACCACCAGUGGCGAAGGCGUCUCACCAGAACGGACCUGACGGCAAGGGACGAAAGCUAGGGGCACGAACCGGAUUAGAUACCCGGGUAGUCCUAGCCGUAAACGAUACUCGCUAGGUGUCGGCCACGGUGCGACCGUGGUCGGUGCCGUAGGGAAGCCGUGAAGCGAGCCACCUGGGAAGUACGGCCGCAAGGCUGAAACUUAAAGGAAUUGGCGGGGGAGCACAAGGGCGAUUCGC